AACGAAUAUAGCACAUACUCAUAUGGAUUACUUUUUUUUUUGGAAUUUAUUUAUUCAUUUAUUUGAAUCAUGCUUCCAUCUGUCAUCCGGGUGUCUCACUGAUGAAAACACCAGUUUGAAGCUACAUCAGGGUGAGUAAUUGAAAGGAUUUUAAAUUUUGUGUGAAAUAUUAUAUAUUGCUCCUCCAAAGCAGUUAUUCACUGAAACAAAUACAUACAGUACUGUGUAGUAUAGUUUAUUAAACCCUUGUAAUUAACACAGUUUGUCAGUAGCUAAAUGACUUCAUUCCAGACUGCUUCCUAAACACUGUAGCUUUUUUGUUCUGGUUGGUCUUUAGUGUCAUUGUGCAUGGACACAGUUCAUGAGACACAGCUGUUUGUAAACAAACAGAUGAACAUAUGUUCCAGGACUAUUAUUUUAUUUUUCCUCUGAGGCACGGCAUGUUCCACAGUGUGAUGUCUUCAUCCUAUUUACAAGCAACACAAUGCCUUUUGAUAGAGGGUUAUUGCUCACUUUUACUGUUUUUGUUUUUUUUUACCUGUAAAAUAUAUUAACAUCCAUAGAAUGAGAUAAAUUUACUUUUAAAAAUAAAAUUAUGCCAGAAUAUUUAUGCAGUUAAGUAAGACUUUUUUUUUUUGUUAUCUUGAACUUUAGUAAGGGGAUCUUUCCCACAUAUUUACAUGCUUUUAACUUACAUGCUUCAGUCAUUCUCCAAUUAUUUUUUUCCUUUUUUUUUUGGGUGAAACAUCACUUUUCUGAAAAGUGCCAUCCUGUUAUGUGGUAUCCAAGCUUAAAAGCAGAACAUGAGGGCUAAUGGUGAAUAACAGUCCUCUGCUUAAUGAUCUCUAAAAAGACAUCCUUGACUCCCACUUCCUACAGAAUUUAAAUAAUGUGCUCUGCUGUUGACAUGUCUCAGUAUGGGUUUGUGAGGUCCACAUUAGAGGAUGUUUAACUGAUAGCAACCUGAAAAGCCCUGGCCUCUAUCACUGUUGUUUCUGGGGACAACGCUCUGACCCGGUGAGAACUGAGAAUGGAAUCUCUGUGAGACAGAGGAUUGAUGUGUGUUUUUUUUUUUAAUGGACUGUUUUUCUUCCAUGAAAUAAAUUGUUCUUUGAUGGAAAAAACAACAACAAGAAAAACAAACAAACAAGAAAACUGAACGAACCCAUAAUAAUUAAGGAAUUAUUCAUAAUGCAGUCUACUAGAGCACUAUUAGGGGCUGGUAUUCGCUCACAAACAUUGACAAAUUAACUGCCACCCAGUCUACUUAAGCUAGGUUACCACCAUGACAUUUCCCAUACAUUCAGUCCUG
ensembl:lncRNA